CAGCCCCCUGGCUGAGUGGCCACCCGCUGCUGGCUGCUGUCAUCCCACAUUGGAAGUGACGGAGGAGCAGAAGAAUGAGUGGGUCACCAGCCGGUCUUCAGGCUCCCGGGCCAGCAUUCAGACUGGGCAGGAGGUUUGUGGGUGGAAGUCCAGGUGGCCAGAGGGUCGAGACUCAUCUCACAGCCGGGCAAUAGAUGCGUGUCUCUCAGUCGGUCAGCUCUGGCUGGGAUCAGUGUUUAUCUUCAUGUCAGUGGACACCAUCACAGGCACCCGCAAGAAUCAGCGAUCGACGGGGAAGAGGUUUGGGUGCAUGGAGGAGUGCUUUGCAGUGAGGGCUUUGGAGCCUUGUGCCCUGGUUCAAAUCCUGGCUGUGUUCCCUGCCGGUUGUGUGACUUCGGAUAAAUUACUUAAUGUCUCUGAGCAUAAGCUGGGUCAUCAGAAAAGCCAAGCUAGUAAGAGCACGUAGCUCAGAAGGCUGCUGUAAAGUUCCGAUGAGUUGAUAUAUGCUCAGUGCUGGAAAAGGUGCCGGGCACAUUAGCUGUUGGUAUUAUCUGGGCACCUCCAGCCCAAAUAAUAAUAAAGAGACUAGGAGGGAUGUUGG
rnacentral:lncRNA from 1 species